rnacentral:lncRNA from 1 species
UUUAGUUGGGUCCAGUCGUCCGGAGCACGAGAAGACGUGGAUCUCCAAGCAUCAAUGGAGAUGAGUAUGCCAGGACAAUCAUACGAAUUGACGAAAAUGUCCUUGUGGUUCAAAGUUACGGUUUCAGAGAACAAACGUAACACCUGAGAAACCCCUGUUGGCUGUUGCACUUGCUAUGUAACUGAACAAACAAACCGACCUUCCGAUCACGUUUCACUUCCAAAUGAAAACCUUAGUUUUUGUAAACUCAAUUGGUAAUUACUCGAAUCCAUUGAUUAUUUCACCUCCAAAUUUUCUCACCCAUUUUCCAUUACUUUCUCAAAAUAAUAAAACAUUCCUUCCCUUUUCCCGCUCAAAAUGGUUUCGCGAUCCCAAAACCCUAAAUUUAUCUCCCAUCAAAGCUGUUACAUCGCCCGAAUCAUUGAGUUACGGCGGGUGGGAGGAUUUGAGGCUCAGUGACUCGGUUGUGUCAACUCCGCUGCGUGAUUUUUUACUUUCCAUUGGAAUUGAUGAUCGAAAGUAUGUCUUUAUGUUUAUUUUAGGGCUUCUAUGUGCCUUUUCCAUUUCUAGGGUCAGGGUGUCGUCUAUAAUUGUGUUUCCAGCUACAGUUUUGGUUUUUGCAAUUGGGUUUUCAUUUGGGUUUGUUCGGGGUAGCAGCUUCAGUGAAGUAGGUGCAAGUAAAAGAAGAUCGAAAGAGGAAAUUUUUAGGCCUAAUAGUGAGAACUUGAGGAAUUUAUUGGAUUUUUUUGAACGGUUAAAUUCUAAAAUCUUAAAUUAUUUUCCUCUUACUUUAUAGUUCACAACUAUAAACUCUUAUAAUUUUUUAAAGAAAUUUAUUUUUAUUAGAAUAUAAAUAUAAAUUAUGAAAUGGGGUGGAUGUAAAGUAUUUAUCAAAAAAAUAAUUAACUUAAGUAUUUAAUUUAAUUUCCAUUCAAAAAAUUGGAAACGAAUCAAAUCAUAUUUGGUUAUUAAGAUAAUUUCAAUAAGAUAUGCGGUUUAUGUGGAGUAUUGAGGGGGUGUCAACAGGCGUAGCCUCGAUCCAAUCGUGUGAGAAAAAUUAUAUUUAGGCUUUAGUUGGGUCCAGUCGUCCGGAGCACGAGAAGACGUGGAUCUCCAAGCAUCAAUGGAGAUGAGUAUGCCAGGACAAUCAUACGAAUUGACGAAAAUGUCCUUGUGGUUCAAAGUUACGGUUUCAGAGAACAAACGUAACACCUGAGAAACCCCUGUUGGCUGUUGCACUUGCUAUGUAACUGAACAAACAAACCGACCUUCCGAUCACGUUUCACUUCCAAAUGAAAACCUUAGUUUUUGUAAACUCAAUUGGUAAUUACUCGAAUCCAUUGAUUAUUUCACCUCCAAAUUUUCUCACCCAUUUUCCAUUACUUUCUCAAAAUAAUAAAACAUUCCUUCCCUUUUCCCGCUCAAAAUGGUUUCGCGAUCCCAAAACCCUAAAUUUAUCUCCCAUCAAAGCUGUUACAUCGCCCGAAUCAUUGAGUUACGGCGGGUGGGAGGAUUUGAGGCUCAGUGACUCGGUUGUGUCAACUCCGCUGCGUGAUUUUUUACUUUCCAUUGGAAUUGAUGAUCGAAAGUAUGUCUUUAUGUUUAUUUUAGGGCUUCUAUGU